UACAGAGGUCUCAAGCGUUGUUCGGAUUCAUUGGGCGUAAAGGGUGCGUAGGUGGCGCCGUAAGUCGGGUGUGAAAUUUCGGAGCUUAACUCCGAAACUGCAUUCGAUACUGCUGGUGCUUGAGGACUGGAGAGGAGACUGGAAUUCAUGGUGUAGCAGUGAAAUGCGUAGAGAUCAUGAGGAAGACCAGUGGCGAAGGCGGGUCUCUGGACAGUUCCUGACACUGAGGCACGAAGGCCAGGGGAGCAAACGGG
rnacentral:rRNA from 1 species